AAUAUGAUUGCUGGAUCAUAAAGUAAGACCAUAUUUAGCUUUCUAAGAAAUUCCUAGAUUGUCUUCAAAGGCAGCUGUACCAUUUUGAAUUGCCAACAACAAU
rnacentral:pre_miRNA from 1 species